GUUUACACUACCAGAUAGCUUGCGCAGCGACGCAAAAACUCUACUCGACAGGGCUUUCAUGUAUAUGAAAUGAUGUAAUCGAAUCAAUUUCUGCAUCGAAACGUCAGUGCGGCUCUCCGCUCUGGUGACUUCCCACUAGUCCGAAGGUUCACUACUCCGAAGGUUCACUACUCCGAAGGUUCACUAGUCCAAAACAUACGCUGGUUUGAAUUGCAAUUACGUGUUAGACUUGGCUGCUUCGCAGUUAAGCAUUUUUCGUACCUGCAUAUACACGCACGGAGAAGUUUAAAUUCACUUGAAAGUCUUUUGUCCAUUUAAUAAAUCACGCAAAUCCUUUGUGGCCAAAUUGGGUGACGGAAAGUGCGGUUUCUUGGGGGUAAGGGGCCCCCAGAAAAGCUGGAGAAACAUCAGGGUGAGAGUAAGGGGCCCUCACCGUUAUGGACGUUGAAUCUCAUGUCCGAGCCGGGCUUCCCCGUGGUGAAGUGAUCGAGAGAUGCGAAGAUCAGGACGAGGGUAAGGGCCCCCCGCCGUUAUGGACCUUGCUCUCUUUUGCCGGUGUGUGCUUCACCGUGGGCGAAGUGUGGCCGUGUGGACACCACUUUCCGUCCCGCUUUCUUUAUUUCUUCUUGAAUGUAUAAAAUUAUUUACAAGUUGAUAAAACAGAACAAUAUAGAUAUGAUUACAAUUGAUUUCUUAUAUUUAAUUAAGUUCUAUAGUUCUUGAUUAGUGGAUGCUUCUUCUUCAGCAAAGGGUUGGGUGGGUGGGAUUUUCCUUUUAUGUUGUCUCGAAGACCGUUGAAACCAGAGUGAACGGAGAUAAAAUUUGGCUAGCUUUUG